AAAGUCGUAACAAGGUUUCCGUAGGUGAACCUGCGGAAGGAUCAUUAACACGUAUCCACGUAUCAAACCAAAUCUGUGCACUUAAUCCUUCCCUACUGGUGGGAUAGCUGUUCGUGAACUCCAUGGUGGGUAUGGCAGAAAUGCCAUACGGUGACACGAACUACCGAGUCUCUGAGCUCGAAGCUAUUCCUGCUGAUAGGCUAAACAUUUUUAACUUCAUCCCAUCAUCUUCUUUCUAUCAUGAGAGAUGGUGGCGAUGGAGGUAAGAAACCCUAUUCACCCUUUUUACCAAUUUGACUGAUGCGCAGAGAGACAGCGAAAGCCGUCUUCUACUGAGUUUAUCUAAACUAAGCACAACUCUUAGCAAUGGAUAUCUUGGUUCUC
rnacentral:misc_RNA from 1 species